rnacentral:misc_RNA from 1 species
AAGUCGUAACAAGGUUUCCGUAGGUGAACCUGCGGAAGGAUCAUUAACACGUAUCCGUUAAACAACCCUGUGAACUUUCAACACCGCCGGAAUGAGAUUAAUUUCCAACUCCGGUGAAGGCAAGUGACCUGGCACCUGGACCACAUCAAAGCUCUGACAGAGUGCCUCUGGAUUGUGAUUGAAGGGUGACGCAGUAACGAUCGCUGGAGGCCCACACGGCCGGCGACUGGGUCAGCGAGCUAACGCUCCCUCAACAACCACUUAACAUGACGACAGUUCCUCUUUAACUUGAGUUGAGCUAUAACAAAAAACUAUACAACUGUUAACAAUGGAUAUCUUGGUUCUC